UUGAUUCCAUUCAAUUCUGACUCAUCUACCUGGAGAUAGCAGUUUGAGGGCUUAUUCUCUUUAAAAUGAGUUUACACUGAUUCUAUUCAUUUCCUGACCUUUGGACGUAUGAGUCUAGUUUCCUUGAUUAAAAAGGACCAUGGCUGGAUGGUCCUAAUAAGAAAGCAAGCACAUAAAGUAUCACAGAGCCCCAUGGCCAACAUAACAUAAAAGUUUUUGUAUAUUUAUUUGUUAUACUGAACUGAAUUAUUCACUUAUUAUUUGAAGUUAUGUUCUUAUAGGAAGCUAGGCACCAACCAGCAGUUGCUAAUAAUAUACUAUA
rnacentral:lncRNA from 1 species